AACUCGGCUGCAUGAAGCUGGAAUCGCUAGUAAUCGCGGAUCAGAAUGCCGCGGUGAAUACGUUCCCGGGUCUUGUACACACCGCCCGUCACACCAUGGGAGUUGGAAAUGCCCGAAGUCAGUGGCCCAACCGCAAGGAGGGAGCUGCCGAAGGCAGGUUCGAUGACUGGGGUGAAGUCGUAACAAGGUAAC
rnacentral:rRNA from 1 species